UACGAAGGAUGCAAGCGUUAUCCGGAUUUAUUGGGUUUAAAGGGUGCGUAGGCGGACUUAUAAGUCAGUGGUGAAAUCUCGUUGCUUAACAACGAACGUGCCAUUGAUACUGUAGGUCUUGAGUACAGAUGCCGUUGGCGGAAUGUGUCAUGUAGCGGUGAAAUGCAUAGAUAUGACACAGAACACCGAUUGCGAAGGCAGCUGACGAAACUGUAACUGACGCUGAGGCACGAAAGCGUGGGGAUCAAACAGG
rnacentral:rRNA from 2 species